rnacentral:rRNA from 1 species
CACGUAGGGGACGAGCGUUGUCCGGAAUCAUUGGGCGUAAAGCGCGCGUAGGCGGCCCGGAAAGUCGGAUGUGAAAUCCCGGGGCUCAACCCCGGGCCUGCAUCCGAUACUCCCGGGCUGGAGGCAGGUAGGGGAGAUCGGAAUUCCUGGUGUAGCGGUGAAAUGCGCAGAUAUCAGGAGGAACACCGGUGGCGAAGGCGGAUCUCUGGGCCUUACCUGACGCUGAGGCGCGAAAGCUAGGGGAGCAAACAGG